GUUAUUACUGAUUUUUUUUACUUUCUUCUCAAAUGUGGUAUUCUAACUCCUUUCUCUCUAUUCCAUUUCAAAUGUGGCAAACAAUUCCAUUUUUCACUCUCUUUCUCUUUCUUCCAUUUCAUUCUCGGUUGGAUUGAGCGAGUUUGGAGAGGGCGCAAAAAGAAGCUUUGAAGAGAUAGGUUAAUUGCAGUUCGAGGUUCUUCCGUCUUCCUUCUCUUUCUAUUUCUCUAACGUUGACGAAGAAGGAGAUGUCUUAGAUAUGAAAAUGAGAAAGCAUGUUGUUAUCCGAUAUCACAUGAGCGUUUAGGCUAGGAUCUUUUCGAUACUCAACUUGGUUGUGAUUUCCAAGCAAGACUGAUUCAGCUACAAAAGGGUUGGAAACUAAGAUUUGGUUGCGUAAUGAUCCUUCUAUGGGUAAACCUUUUUUAGGCUGAAUAUUUGUGAUGAGAAACUCACCAGGUUAAGGUGAAGGAGUGAAAAGCACUUAGAAAGGGGCGGGGGAUUGAAUAAGAAUUGUUUCUUUUUGGCAGAUAAAAAUAAUGAACACAAUUAUUUUUAUCCUGG